UUUUUUUUUCUUUUUUUGGUACCAGGGAUUGAACCCAAGGGUGCUUAAACACUGAGCCACAUUCCCAGCCCCUUUUUAUUUUUUAUUUUGAGACAGGAUCUCACCAAGUUGCUAAGUUACAAGUGUGUGAUACUGUGUUUGGCCACUACUACAUUUUUUUAUGUCCUUCUUUAUUCCCUAAGUUGUUCAAAAGCACUAGUUCUUAACUCCCAAGUGACGACAAGGUCGUAUUUUAUGCAUUAACUAUAAGCUUAUAGUUAGAACAACAAAGACCAUAUGGUCUACUGAAGAGGAUAGUUGCUUUACUCAGCAGAUUCCUAUCCUGGCUUCUCUUCUUGGCAGGGAGACUUGAGACCACAGCAAGGUACUCGUUCUCCUUGAGACUCCAUUUUCUCUUCUGUGGUUGGGUUGAUAAAGAACAUUAAUUUUUUUAUAUGCAAUGAAAUGGAAAUCUCAACCUGAAUUUUAUACCACUGAAUUUCUUCCAUUUUAUUCACUUUUAUUUAUACUGUUAACUGUUCUUUUCGUUAAGCUUAGUAUCAUGAAUGGAUGAGUUUGAUUAGAGUACAAUGAAUAUAUCACAGGCUUAGAAAUACCUAGCUGCCUGUAGUAGGCAGAAUAAAGUUGUUCAGACAUUAAUUAUUUCUCCUCUUUUUAAAAAUGCAAAGUAAAGGGUCUUACUCUCAGAAAGAAACUGUC
rnacentral:lncRNA from 1 species